AAGUGCUCCCACCGCCCAGUCCCCGGACCGACUGUCCCACCCGCGACCCAUGCUGGCCCCAGGUUAACGCCUGCAACCCCGGAGGGCCACAAAUCAAAGGUCUGGCAUCUUGACAACAACGCUGUUCUUGUGUGGCUAAGGAGCACUCCAAAGAUGGAUAAUCACAUAUUCAUACCAUGGGACAUGCCCCUCGGAUGCAUCCUCAAGAAGGGAGAAAAGUUUGAACCCCAAACCCUAAAAAGGAAAAGGCUAAUAUUUUUCUGUAACACAGCUUGGGUUGAAUAAAAUCUCCAGGACCAGUAAUGUUGGCCAGAAAACAGAAGCAUAAAUUUU
rnacentral:lncRNA from 1 species